rnacentral:sRNA from 1 species
UGGAGACCAUUCAAAACAGCAUAGCCAGUUAAAAUAAGGCUAGUCCGUUAUCAACUUGAAAAAGUGGCACCGAGUCGGUGCUUUUUUUGAUACUUCUAUUCUACUCUGACUGCAAACCCAAAAAAACAAGCGCUUUCAAAACGCUUGUUUUAUCAUUUUUAGGGAAAUUAAUCUCUUAAUCC